rnacentral:lncRNA from 1 species
AUUUACGGAUGUUGCGUACUUCCAGAUGAUAGAUUGGUAUUUACUUACUACUUUGCCAAACAAUUAAAAGUUUUCAGCAAUAAAGGAUCAAAAGACUUUGAGGUGAAGAUGCCGUGUUGUCCGUUUGAUAUAGUAUACAUUAGAGAAGACAAUACAUUGGCUGUAUCAUCUGAUAGUCCACGUACCAUUACCAUAAUAAACCUGGAGACAAAACAAAUAAUGAAAUCAAUUGCAUUGGAUUCUGAAUAUUUAUGGCAUAGCACUGAAAGAUAAUCAAUUGAUUUAUUCGGGUCAGAGACAAAGGAAUACGAAUGAUCGAUUUAAACGACGAGUCUAUAAGUGACAUAGUCCGAGAAGCAAUGGCCAGUUGUGUGCUACACUGCAACUUUUAGGGACAAUAUAUAUCAUACAAAACAAUAAAAACACUGUUACCUGUUAUAACCUACAAGGUAAAAUCAAUGGACAUUUCAUAACGAAAGCGUUCUAAGAGUCCUCGUGGUAUUGAUGUAGAUAAUGAUGGUAAUGUGUACGUGGUGGGAUACAAUCGAACAAUGUUGUAAUUAUCUCCCCUGAUGGACAACGGCAAAGAGAAAUAUUGACAGCCAGUGAUGGACUUAGUUGUCCUAUGUCACUUCAUUAUAGUGGAUCAAACGAAUCAGUUGCUAGUCGCGAACUACAACAAUAGCAAAGCUUUUUUGUUAAAUUGUACUUGAAGAAAAAAAUAACAGUGUGAAGUGCUGUCUCUUUGAAUCAUUAUAUGAAAUAAUUAUAGACAAUAGACAAUAUCUAUUUGCACAAUUAUAUUGACAUUAAAGGUUAAGGUAAUGCACUUAACACAUUAUAAAUUCCACAAUGAACUGUAUGUAACAACUAACCAUAGUUUCUUAUAAAAUAAUGGUGAUGUUUUAAGUAAAGUAUAUUAAAAAAUCCUUGUCAGGAUUAAAGCGAUUUAUUGUGUUGUAUGGAUAGGCAUGCAUUUACAAAGUUCGAAAUUAAUAAUUGAUUAUACAAAAAACCUAUGUUUUGGCUCACCUGGUCCGGACGGCCAUGUGAUCUUUUCUAAUCACUAUCGCCAGCAUCGUCUUUCCUUAUAAUUUACCGUCAGUAAGCUGGAUACCAUAACUCCACAAAACUACUUAAAAAGAACUAUAUUUUUUUUACGGAGAUAAUCCCGAAAAUUAAGAAACUAUCAUAGUAAACUUAUCGAUCCUUUAAAUAAACUUAUUCUUAUAGGUUAUCAAUUCGACACUGUUAUUAGAUUUUUUGAAUAUUGUCUUUAUAUAUACUAAUAUUGAUUUUUUGUCAGUUUAUCAAAAAACAAAACUACAUAUUAUUGUUAUAUACAUUUGCACUGUCAUGGAUCUACAAACUGUCGAUACCUGUAUCUUGGCAAUGCACCAGGUCGUAAUUUCUGCUGACCGUUUAUUGCGUCUUUACACUAAAUCCAUUGGAUAUUGGAUGUAUACUGAUUGAUGAUUAAGACUUAAUUACCUGAUUUUUUUAUUAGUAGUUUUUGGCUUUGAACUAGCUGUCAGUUACUGCAAGUACUCUCAAAUCGUACUUUCUUGUUAAUUUGACCAGUUGAUACUAUGUGUAAUGCUUCUUUGUUAUUUAAUAGAUAUAAGAAGAUGUGGUGUGAGUGUUAAUGUCCAUUUAUUCAGGUUUAUAUCUGGUCUAUAUACCAGCUUUGCUAAGUGUUUGGUAUUACUAUGAUUUUUCACUUCGAUCUUCAUACUAUGAACAUCAAAAAUAUUUAUUUGUAAAAUAUGUUUCCUUUCUCUUAUAAAAAUGUACUCUCAGAUCUGUGCUUAGUAUCUUUUUGUCGAACCGAUGUAUAAGAACCCGGCCACGUCCACUCUGUUUUUGUUAUAUAUAUUUCUAGUUACGUGUCCAUCUGAUGAAUUAAGCCUUUUAUAAAUGAUUUCUAUAGUUCGUUAUUGUGUUGUACUGUUCCACCAAUGUCACAGUUUAGGGGACGGUUGGGAUCCCGAUAACAUGUUUCAACCCACCUCAUGAUGAAUGUAUAUACCUGUUUCAAGUCAGGAGCCUGUACUUAAGUGGUUGUCGUUUGAUGCUGUGGUUUCCGCUAUUUUUUGUACAUCAAUAAGGCCGUUAGAUUUCGUCUUUACAUUCGUCAUUUCGGGGUCUUUUAUGGCUAACUAUACGAUAUGCUCAUAGUUGAAGGACGUAUGGGGACCUAAAGUUGUUAAUUGCUGUCUAAUUUGAUCUUUUGUGAAGUAGUGUCUUGUUGGUAACCAUACCACAUCUUCUUUUUUUUUAUAUAGCUUGAUCAUCAAGAUGUUAAAACUGAAUAUAUUUCUAAAGUGUUAACUAUUAUUUUCUUCUACAGUAAAAGAUGAUUUUUAGAAAAUAUUGAGAUGAUAUGUAUCUUCAAUCAGAAGCGUUGGUCAUAUGUGGAUUCUUAAAAAUUGUAUAGAUCUACUGCUAAAUCGUGGAUCACAAUGUCUGCAAUUUAGCAGCAACAUUAAGACCUUUUUGAUUUUUCUUCAUUUAACCCUUGCUAUUCCUUAUGCUCAAUUGAAAUAUUGACUUCACGAUCUCGAAAUCGAAAAAGAAAUAAAAAAGACCAGAAUGAAGAUCGACAGUCAUCUCGACAAACUACAAAAGGAAUGAAUGAAACAAUUGAAUGCGAUAGAAAAAAAAACUUUGAAAAUUUGUCAGUUAUUGUCAACAAUAAAUAUAAAGGAAAAUGAAAUAUCAGAAUGUCAGAGAAAAGUUAUGAACACGCAACGGACCUUCAAGUGCUCUUUCAAUGAAACAAAUAGAGGAGGACGUCUAUAGCAAACAUAAAGUCCUGCAGUCGCUUGAACAUGUUGAAGAAAGCAAGAGUUUCAAGCAAACUAUUCUUUCAUAUAAGACCCACGACUCUAUCCAAAAUAUCAUGUCCGAUAUCAAGUGUGUAUUGAAUCUAAAUUUUGCGAUAUUGUUCUGAAUAGCAAUAUAUUGUUGGAGUUGAACAUCAUUAGGGACGACAUCAAAAGUUCAAUGAAGGAUAAAAAACUUAAUUCACAUAGUUUUUUAACUGACCCCCCCCCCCCCCUCUUAACUUAAUUUGGGAAAAAUUGAUUGACCAAUAGGGAUAUAUGUAAAAUCGAUUUUGGAAUAACAAAACUUGCAGUAAUGUUGACCCCCCCCUAACCCCCAAACUAUUUGAUUUAAGUUUUUUAUCCUACAUCGAUCUUUUGAUGUCGUCCCUUAGUAUAUAAAGAGGUGGUGGCGAUGUAUACUAUUUGUGCACGUUUGUUCUCAGUUUUGAAGAAUGUUUCAUCUGAUGUUGAACAAAAUCUAGAAUAGAAUGUCAUGACACAUGAACUCUAUUUGUAUUCAACACGAAACAUUGGAAAUGAUUACAUUUGGCAUUUUCUCUAGUUUUUUUUAACCUCAUGAAUUUUAUAUUUCAAGUAACAAUACAUAUGUUGUCUGAUUAUAAUGGCUUGUAAAUCUUUAUGAUGAUGACCACGAAUGCCUGGUUAACGUCUAGCGUCCAUACAGUCUCAGGACGUAAACAUGUCAAUAAGAUAUGAAUAUAACUUCCGAUUUGUACAAGACCAACACGUUGAGCACAAGCAAGUUCAAAAUAUAAAAAAACCCACAGGAAGACAUGCAACCAUACCCGAACAAAUUAUUGGCAGAGAAGUGGAAAAUAACUAUUGUCAAGUCUGCUUUAACUAAGUCGGUUGUCGAACCCAAGACCUCCCGUACUUGAGGCAAGCUCGCUACCAUUUGAACAUCGAGGCGGUAACUAUAUAAUGAACCAUUCACAAAUUCAGUUAUGCUUAAUUUCUCGGUGAUCGUAUUUGCUAAUGACGGUAUCUCUCUAUCUCUUACACUUAACAGAAAAUAGCCCAAAACGCAAAAUAUCAUAUUUUUUUCAUAAUAAAAAAGACAGAAGAAGCUAUAGGUGUAUUUGUGUACUAAAUAAUAUGACACACAUUUAUGUUAUUCAAAACGGAGUGGGGCUGAAUGUCUUCCAGACAUAGCUAUAUUUAGUUACUAGUACCUACAAGACAGUGCAAAACAACCCCAUAUGUGAUUUCAUACCCUUCCGAAGGGUAAUGAGACCCUGUUCAACGUGUCGUAACGUAGUGAUACUAAAAAAGAAGUUGAUUCAUAAUCAUGGUACUGUUGCCUUACAUUGUCUUACAAUUAGAUCUUUUUUCCCACUUUAUCUGUUUACUAUUUCUCUCUAUCUCUUACACUAACUAGAAACAGUGAAGUGUUCAUGUUAAUAGUCCAUUUGCCAACUUCCGUUAUUGACCCUGUUUUAAGAGAUCCCUUUUUGAAUUUGUCUCCCUAACAGGGACAUUAAUUUUUAUUUACAAUGGAGAGCUAGCAGAAAAAGAAAAUUUACCUGUGCGUAAUGUGAGAAAUCUUUCAGGUUUUCAAAUCUUUUAUUUACAUUAAUUUGUUUUUCAGCUUAAUACUUUUGACAUCAGAAAUAAUUUUUUCAUGAAAAAUUAGUUAACCCGCCGUUACAUCACUUUCAAUUCAUCAUGUUUUGCAUUGGCAAUAGCCAAUUUUGUCCGGUAUAGAACCAGUCUACAAUUGACAAAGGGAGGUAAUUCGUUUAAAAUGUGUGUACUAACAGAUUGUACAUUUGUUUGUCUUAUUUUACUGCAUAUUCAAUACAUCUUACAGUUAUCUCUUUAUACCAUACGGUUUUCGCCUAAACACUAAAAUGUGUAAAGAUCGUUAAGGAAUGAAAAUAAUGACUUACUUGUUGUACUAACUAAAUAAAUGUUGCUGCUUACAGCAUAUAUGUUCUCUUUUUUAAGAUAACAAGCAAACAUACAAAAAUGGUAAAAACAUCUUUCAGAGCAAUGACUCAUAAGAGAAGUAAUUUGAUAAUUUUCGUCUUAAACGUUUUCUGUAGAUAGAUAUAGGAAAAUUUGGUAUAAGUGCCUAUGCGACAACUCUCCAUCCAAGUUAAAAUUUAUAAAAGUAAACCAUUAAAGGUCAAGGUACGGUAUCCAACACGGAGCCUUGACUCAUACCGAAUAGCAAUCUAUAAAGGGCCCCAAAAAAUUACUAGUGUAAAACCGUUCAAAUAGGAAAACCAACGGUCUAAUCUAUAUAAAAAAAACGAGAAACGAGGAACACUUAUAAAACCACUGAACGGCUCCUGAAUUGGGUCAGGCGCAAAAAAGUGCAGCGGGGUUGAACGUUUAAAUAGGUGCCAACCUUCACUCUAAACUAAAACAAUUGUGAAUCUUAGCAACAUGAAAAUACACACUAUAAGAACGAAUUGAUUUUAUCUAUGACACAAUGUAAAUACAAAAUGGUAACAAAAAUAGAUGGGGUAGAUGUAAAACAGUACCAGUUAGACAACCAUUAUCUCGGACAAAAUGCCGCAAAAUAUGAAAUAUACACAAGUAAUUUUGUUGAAAGGCACGAGAACAUAAGUGAAAAUUUAUCGGUAUACCAAACACUUAUGAAAUGCCAAUUUUGAAGUUGAAAAUACUGCAUUCAUCUCAGAAGGGAAUUUUUACCGGUGUUUUGUGUUUAAAGCUUAACCUUAAAUUAGAAAAUUUAAAUAACAUAUAUGCAUUAAAAAAAAUUCUUUAAAAUCUGUGCAUAUAAAAAAUUAAUUGCUGUGUAUUUGAAAAUGUCGGAAAUGACAUUCACCUGUUCAGCAGGAAAUGCUUCUGCGCUUCAUAUAUAAUAUAAUGAUCGCUUACUUUUGUGAGCUUAUGUAUGCAACCAUGAUGGCAAGGUUGUUUGUUAAUGGCCAGGUUGAGACAGAACUGAUGGCAUAGAUGUGCAUGAAAAAUUUGGAACGAUGGCAGAGUUUCAAAUAUGGCCUCGAUUUUAUCGGGUAACAAUCUUUUUUGUCAUCCCAUGUGGUAUUUAUAUAUUACCUGAUCAAAAUAGACGACCUUUGAAUUCGGGCAUUUUCAUGUGCAUUACAUUACAAAUAUCACACUGCUUAUGUUUUAAUGCACAAUAUUAUGCCGCAUUGUAUCAACAUGAAUAAAGGCUCCUGAAUAGCGAAGAAAGAUUUGAAUUAAAAAAAUGAGCAUUUAUUCAACUGCCAGUAUUGAAGGUAAUACCAAUUAUUAGGGCUGUAUGCGACAAACGUCAACUACUGACUGGAAACUCCUGGCAUGGAACACGCACAUUAAAAAUGUUGUGGUGUAAUAUUGAGUACGGCAAACUGGUAUGAUUGCCAACGAGACAACUGUCAAUCAUAGACCAUAUGGUAUGAUGUAAGCCUUUAACAAUGAACUUGCAAGUCAUCGGUUGACGUUUGUUACAACACCAUGCAAGUUAUUGUUCUUAAACUGAUUUGUUUAACACAUAUAGGUCAGUUGUUCUUUUAUUUCCAUAUUUACUAUUGGUCUUUAAUAAUGUUUAUUUGAUGCAGCAUAGUACCAUACAGUAUAGGGUUUUACUUAUCAUUUACAGCUAAACAGAGACCUACUGUUUAUACAUUUUUGAUCUUUGUUUCAAUUGUGGGUAGCAACUUUUCUGAAAUCAUACUACAUCUCUUUAUUUUUAUAUUGUAUGUAUAUUGUAAAAACGAAUAGCUACUGGUCAAUUUUCCAAAUCCGAUUUUUUUUUCUAUGGAUGAGUUACGCCAGUUGACGGAAUAUCAAUCGAAGUAAACAAGGUCAAUGAAAAAUCGACUCUUACUGUACAUAAUAUUACAAUCUUUGUGACAUACGAAAUGUACGGAAAUUGCAUGCCCAAUUGUCAUCGUCGUUAUAUUGAUCAAUUAAGAUACGUUGUUGCUUAAAACAGAGAAUAUUGAAAAUGUGAGGUUCUGUUUUGUUUUAUUGCGAGUACAAAUGGACAUAAUAUUUAAAAUCAAUGAUAUAACAACGUCGUUUUCGUCUCAUCAGAUUAUAAAAACAGUCACGUGAUUAAUAAGCUCAAACACAUCAAACGAAUGGAUAGCAACUGCCAUAUUCCUGACUCGGCACAGGCAAUUAUUCCUUUAGAAAAUGGUGGAUUUAGAUCUGGUUUUAUGGACAACGAUAUGUGAACGAAAAAAAAGACAUCAUAGAAUAAAAAGAUAAAAAUUUUAAAAUUGGGGGACAACAGUCAAUAGUGUGAUAUACUUUUAAUCAGUUAAAAAGAAAACAAAAACAAAAUAAAGUAUGUAACAAAGAAACACAAGAAGGCAUAUAGACAAAACAAACAAACAAAAAUGAACCGCAACUCUCUAUCUUUAAUGUAUACACAUAUAACAAGUCAAAAUAACUAAUUGAGGUUUGAUUAAUUUCCCUUCUCCUUUUAACAUAAACAAAACAGGAAAUCUAACUUGAUUUUUUAUAUCAAUUGUUUUAUCAUGUUUUCAACGUCUACUUUACCAAGAUUAUUUGACAAUUGAUUUAUUGUAAACCAUAACUCUCUAUCUUUAUUGUGUACAAAUAUUACAAGUCAUAAAAACUAUCACAGGUUUGGAUUUAUUCUCCGUCUUAUUAAAAGAUAAACAAAAAAGAACAUUUUAUUUGAUUCUAGUUUGAAAUGCUUUAUUACGUCUUUCAACGUCUACUUUACCAAGAUUAUAGUACAUUUAUUUAUGAUGAACCGUAACUCUCUAUCUUUAUUAUGUACAAAUAAGAAAGAAAUACAAACAGGAAAAACUAAUACAGAUUUGAACUUAUUUCUUUCUCGUUUAACGAACAUCUGGGAACUUGAUUUAAUGCAUAAAAUGUUAUACAAUUUUUUAUUUGUCUCCUUUACCAAGAUUUUGGUUUUUGAAUAUCAUAGUCCUGCUAAAUUAUAAUUUGACAUGCAAUUACGUUUAUAAUUGUAACAAAAUAUAACUAAUCUUUUCAAUCGAUCAAUGGAAAUCAAUGGCUCAUCAAUCAAAUCAAAAUUAAUUAUCUUUACCUCAUACGAUAAAUAACAGUGUAAAACAGUCGUCGUCUUUUAAACCAUAAGAUGAUGAACUUUAUAUUUUAAGCAAAUCGAAAUGAGUUUCUUACCUAUGUUCCAAUUUGCCACUAUAUUUCCUAUUAGGCUAAAAUAGCCAUCCAAUUUAACAAUUUUAAUAUUUGACACUCGAUCAGAUGGAAAACAAGUUACAACGAAUACAAUUUAUUUUGAUUUUUGGCAAUUAGAUAGCCGCUUAAUGAGAUCAGUAAGAACAAUAUCCAUUUUAGAAACUGUGAAAGAGGUGGUUCAAAAAAUUGUUUGUAUAAAACAGGCGACAAAUAUCAGUGUGUGCACUUUUGUUUUCAGUUUAGAAAAUGUAACAUUGAAUAAUUUAUCUAAUGUUGAACAAAAUCUAGAAUAAAGUGUCGUGACACAUGAAAACUAUUUGUAUUCAAGACGAAAUGUUGGAAAUGCUAGUUAAAUUUAACAUUUCCCCCUGUUUCCUAACCUAAUGAAUUUGUUAUUUCAAGUAACUAUUCAUAUGUUGUCUGAUUAUGGCUGGUAAAUCCUAAUGAUGAUGACUACGAAUGACUGGUUAACGUCCAGCGGCAGGUUAAAUUCUUACUCCGGACAAACAUGUUAAUGUCAUAUGAAUAAUACCCCCGAUUUCUACAAGACCAACACGCUGAGCACGAUUUCAAGCGUGCUAGUACACAAUGUAAAAAACCCACAGGAAGACAUGCCACAAUAUCCGAACAAAUUAUUCUAAAUGAAACAACAAGGUCGCGUGCUUAGUUUGGCAGAGAAGUGGAAAAUAACUAUUGUCAAGUCUGCUUUAACUAGGUCGGAUGUCGAACCCUAGACCUCCCGUACUUGAUUCAAGCUCGCUACCAUUAGAACAUCGAGGAAAUAACGUAUAUAAUGGACCGAUUCAUAAAUUCAGUUAUGUUUAACUUCUUGGUGAUCGUAUUUGCUGUUGAUGGUAUCUCCCUAUCUCUUAUACUUUUUAAGAUAUAAGCAAAAAUUUUAAGAAUAUUGAUAUUAUCUGUUCAUAGAAAGGGACAAAUGUAUUUUUGUAGAAAAUAUAUAAUGGAGUAUGUACUUUUGUUAUUCAAAAUAUAUAACAAGGGUAUGGUACUGUGUGUCUACACUACAUAGAUACCUGAAGACUUGGCAAAACAACAUCACGUGUAAUUGCAUGUGCUGAAGAAAGAUAAUCAGAUCCUGUUCAACGUGUGGUAACCCAGCGACAACUCCUAUAAGAAGUUGUUUACAAUGUUUCUAAUGCUAUGUUAUAACUAGAUAUUUUUUAUUCACCUUUUCUGUUUCCAAUUAACUCUAUAUACAUGUGUAUUCCACUGACUAGAACAUUAAAGUUUUCAUGAUACUUGCAUAUGAAUCAAAAUGUGUGAACCUUGUCAUUUAAAGGUAAUAACUCCUUGAAAGAGUCAAUUGUCGACUUUAGUCAGAAGGCUUUAUUGUAGAUUUUAUUUUACUGCAUCCAUUUUGCAGCUUACAGUUUCUUGCUAUCUGCCAUAUAAUUGUUGCCAAAUACAAAAAUGUGUAAAAUCGUUAUUGAAGUAUAUAAACGACUUACUUCUUAACCUAGCUUUAAUGAUAAGUUUUGCUGCCUAAAGUUUCUCUCUCUAUAUAUUAUAGUUUUAUAGAAGAGGGACGAAAGAUACCAAAGGGACAGUCAAACUCAUAAAUCUAAAACAAACUGAAAACGCCAUGGCUAAAAAUGAAAAAAGACAAACAGAAAAACAAUAGUACACAUGACACAACAUAGAAAACUAAAGAAUAAACAACACGAACCCCACCAAAAACUAGGUAUCUCAGUCUCGAAUAAGCAUCCUGCUCCACAUGUGGCACCCGUCGUGUUGCUUAUGUGAUUACAAAUCCGGUAAAUAGUCUAAUUCGGUAGGUCACAAUCAUGAAAGAUAGCAAAAAUAAAUAUAGGUUUGCUUUUUAGUUUUUGCGUUAGUUCGUUUUUGGUUAAAAUCAAAAUAUAAGGACAACAACUUCGAAACGUAAGAAAAUGGAUAAUAAUUUCAUUUAUUUCCUUAUAGAUCCUGUCUGGGUUGAUAAUUUUUGCAGUUUAAAUAAGAUGACUAAUACUAUUUGUUAUUGUAGUGUAAAUUGAACUACAUUUGUUGUUAUUCCCAAGAUUAUAGCUAAACAUUGGUAAAAAUAUUGAUUUAAGGUCGAUAUCUCCUACAAUAUGUACAAGUAAUCGACUGGCUAUUUAGUUUUUUUAGUCGAAGUUGAUGAGACAAAUGAUCAACUGCAAUUUUGUUGACUAUUUUAAUAUUUUUGUUUUCUUUAUGCAAAUUGGAUUCUGCUUGCUAAAAGGAGUAGGUUCAGUAAGACCCCUUUUUGGCCCCAAAAUAUAGCAGUUUUACAAAGUUGUUGAAAUGUAAACUUUUAGUUAUUUAUUGGACAGUAGAAUGCUUCUGCUACAUGAAUAUGGGCUGUUUUUGACAUAACAAUGCACAUAUAUCGGGUACUAGCACCAUAAAGUCAUGCUUAUUUACUGAAAUCUUCACAAUUCUAGCAUUUUAGUUAAAUUUUGGACAGUUUUCAGGUCAAACGAAAGUGGCCGCAUUCGUGUUCAUCCUUAAUAUUGAAAUGUAAGUUGUAGUUUAUGAUAAUACAUAAUAUAUAUAAAGGUUGAGGAUGAACACGGAUGCGGCCACUUUCGUUUUUGACAAAAACCAUCUGAAAAGUGACAUUUUUCGGCAUAUUUGGUAAAUUUUUCAUAUUUGAGCUUGAAUCGGAGCGUUUUUAAUGACUAAAUCAGUAAAAAUCUUUCACAUAAACUAAUUGAUUCAAAUGAAAUAGACACUUAAGUGUUUAAAAAGUGGUCAAAAUCUUUCGUCAAAUGAACCUGAAAUUUGAGGCCAAAAUCGGUCCUUACCGGACCUACUCCUUUCUCUUCUGUUCACUUCGUGAUGUUUUUUAAUUGUUGACAAUUAGUUAACAGAUAAAGGAAACAGUAGUAUACCGCUGUUCGAAAGUCAUUAAUUGAGAAAACAAAUCCGGGUUACAAUCUAAAAUUGAGGAACACAUCAACUAUAAGAGGAAAACAACGAAACAACAGAAACACUGAAGUGCAACAAAAAGCAAACGACAAGGCAAAACACACAGAAAUACACAAUGAGAUAACAACUGCCAUUUUUCUGACUUGGUACAGGACAUUUUAAGACAAAAUGGUGGAUUGAAUCUGGUUUUGUGGCUAGCCAAACCUCGCGUUUUAUGGCAAUUUUAGAUAUAACACUAAAAUGACAAAAUUACAUGACAGAAAUACAGUACAAAUAAAUGCAAGAACAUUAAGGACAAAGAAGUACACAAAUGGACAAUUAAAUAAUACAUUUCGAUAUGCUGACAACAGAAUAAAAACAAACACGUAAAACAACCUAGGACAGCACACAUAAACAGCUCAACAGAACCAUGAACUGGUCGUUAAAAAGUGACGUCACAGGUAAAUUUGUAAAAAAUUGAUAUAAAACAAGAUUAUGUUUGUAAUUAUGUUAUUUGAUGUAUUUUAUAACAAUUACAAAUCUAUUAAUAUAGAAUUGUGUUAGUUAUUAUAUAAUUAAUUUUAUUAUCUAGCUAUGUCGGCAUUUCUUCUAAAUAAAACUGUAACACAAAUAAAUCGUGUACAUAUAGUUGCUUUAAUUUAAAAUCAUAUACAUCAAUUGGGUAAAUAAUUAUCUUAACUUUUACAUACUAAUACAAAAUCUAAAAAAUAGAAUCACAACUAUCAACUAUACUUGCUUGUAGAUCUUUUCAAGCUAUUACAUUUUUCUAUUAUUUUUUUCUAAUUUUUCUUCCUAAACUCUAUUUAUCAAGAUAAUAACAAAACAACACUGUUCACAUGGUAAGAAUGAAAUAUCUUAGUGGCAUUAACACCCAAAUUGAAUUGUAUGAUACAUAAGUCAAAUUUCACGGUGAUAAAACCUGUCAGAUUUAAUCACUUUAAAUAGCGUUAAAAAAGGUAACGUGUGUUUUGCCAGUAAAACUUAUAAUUUGCCGUCUCUUAAAAAAUAAAUAAACAGAUGUUUUAUUUUACAAAACUCGAAAGAAAGUAAAACAAAUUCUAUAAUAGGUAGGUAUAUUUCUUAAUACACACCUAUCGUUAGUGUGUAGAUAAUAUUUAAUCAGUUUCGAAAACAGUCAUGUGAUUGAUAACCUACCUAGUAAACCAGACGGUAGUGUAUCUAGUUCAAAUCGAAAGGUAAUUUUAAGAUUUUUAUUGAUAUUUAUAAUAUCAUUUCUUUUUUAGUUACGUCAAUCUCCAUGAUAAGUAUGACCUAAAUACAUGAAUUUAGUAUUUUUUUCAUUAUUUCAACUUUCAUUCUGAGCUUGGACAUUACACAUAUGAUGAGUAUCGUUGGUAGGGCAAUGGGUUGUUGUCGAGCCUGUGACUUUUUUUCGCAGAAAGCUCGACAUAGAAAUAGGAAUAGUGAUCCGGCUUAAAAGCUUUAUAUUUUAGAAGGUGGAAGACAUGGAUGCUUCAUACUUUGUAUAUAGAUGUCUCAUAUUACGAAGUUUCCGUCUGUCAGAUGUCCAUUGACCUUGACAUAAUUUUAAUGGUUCGGUGACUACUUGUAUUUAAGAUUUUUUCUAAUAUUAAAUUCUUUCUUAUUAUGUGUAAUAACAUAACUAUAUUUGGUAUGUGCGUACCUUGCAAGGUCUGCAUGCCCGUCAGACAGUUUUCACCACACCUCGACCUGAUAAAAUGGAUCAGUGUACAAGGUUAAAGACCAAACAGCCUAUUCAUUUCUAUCAGUGAUUUUUCCUUCAAAUUUUGUGUGAAGGUGUUGCAUGAUUUGAGGAAUAAAAUAUGAUGAAAAAAAUUGGGGGUCACCGACUUAGUUUUGUCACUAUAGCAACCUCAGUUUCGCGUUUUCCCGAAUAUUAACAUAAUAUUUGCUUGUUAUCUAAACCUCAAAAAACAUGCUUUAUAUCAAACCUAGAAGCAUAAUUCUUGUUUCACGUUAAACAGUAGAUUAAUAUAUUUCAAAUACAGGAUCAAGAGUGUAAGACUCAUAUUGAUUUGAUCUUUAAAAAUGUGAUUUAAUUCAUUCCCGCCAAAAAUUAUGCGUAAAACUGAAAAACGUUUCCAGUAUUAAAAAAUAUCUACCAGUGAUUUCUUCAUAAAAAUUUAAAGAAGAAAAGUGCCAUAUGUACUCUUCAAAAUAAAGGAAAAAAAAGUGUAUGUCACCGACCUUUCAAAAAAGUUAUGAGUAAUUUUUAUGUUCUUUUCUCGUUCGUUUUGAUGAAAAGAGUUGUCUUUCUUCAGUACAUUGCAUCUGACGUCAUAGUAUACGAACUUUCCUUGCUGGCGCACUAUUUGAAAAAAGAAAUCGUAAAUUGGACACCGUUUGAAACCCACAUUUAAAUUUCCAAGAAUAACAACUAUAUUCACCUACUUUAUUAUCCGGUAAUACUAGAGAUUAAGCAUGUAUCAGUUUCAGAUCUUUAUGAUGUUGUUGCCGCACAAUAUAAACCUUCAGAAACACCAUCCGUCGGAAAGGAAAAUUGUUUGAAAUAACCUUUCACGCCACUUGUAUAUUGAAAGUCUGUUUUUGUCCUCUGUCCCACAUAAGCAAAAUUAUUGAAAAUAAAAAAAAAGAAAUAAAAGAUGGCACUGGUUAACUUACAGAGUUUGCCGUAACAAACUUAUUCGGUACUGUUGAGAGACGGACAUACAAAAGCAUGGACGGAGUUCUUUAUACCAUUAUUUUUCCCGACUAAGACGAACGUUCAGCAAUUAUUGCAUCGAGUUUGUGAAUUCAUUAUUUUGAAUAUUUUUAAGAUUUUAGGAAAUUAAAAUUAUAGGUAUAAUAUAUGAAUUAAAGUUUUGAUUCUAAAACGUUAUACAUCUAUCUUAAAAUACAAUCCUUUUAUUACUACCUAAUGUGUUUUCAAUAAACGAGACAGUAAAUAUAAAAUACAAAAAGUUUUGGAUUCAAAAAUUAAUAUUUAGAAAUAAUUUUCCGUUGGAAACUACAAAGUAAGAUUUCUCCAACAGGAUAAAAUAAAUAAUCUAAAUUGCUCAUUUUGGAAAUUAAAACAAAGAAAAGGUUGUUGCCGGCAUUGAAAAUCGAAAUUUGUUUUCAAUCUUUCCAGUCACAGUUGUAGCUAAAUGAAAGGGAGCGAUUUUAUGUAAGAUAUUAUUUUUGGAGCAAUUGUUUUUGUCAUAUUAAAUUAAAUUUACAACAAUUUAGUUUUAAAGACCAAACAUUUUGAUUUUAAUUCACAUUCGCUGAGUAUUAGUUUUAUUAAUAUUUUUGCCCUACAGCUAAUUUCCUAAUGCAUGUAGGGUAAAACUUUGGUGGGCUUCCUUGCUUUGUUUGUAUUAAUGUUUACUCAAGCUCUGUAAUUAAGAUUAACAUCUUUAUAUAUAGGUAUGCAAACCUGUAUAUAUGCUAUUUAAUUGAAUUGGACGUUAUCAAAAUAUAAUUAUACAAAAUAUACAAACAAAGCAAGCAGGCAAACCAAAGUCGUCAUUUAUUUUUACGAUAAGAUUUUGUCAAAUAAGCAGUAUAAAUAAAUUUUAACUUCAUUGCAAGAUCGGACAUUAUUUUACGAGAAUCAUCCAGACAUCAGGUACAUGUACAUGUUGCCAGUAUGUCAAAACUUUUCGGAAUAAUUGAUUAUCGGCCUAACCUUGUGAAUAAUCAUUUUUUUAUUGAUUUUUUUAAAUUGACACUCAAAUUAGAAGGAUCAUUGCAUAAUGAACAUGUAUACUAAGUUUUAAGUUGACUUCAACUUCGUCAAAAACUACCUUGACCAAAAACUGUAACCAAAAACUUUAACCUGAAGCGGGACAGACGAACGAACGGACACACUGACCAGAAAACAUAAUGCCCAUAAAUCGGGCAUAAAAUUAACUUUCACCUAACCUGUACACUAUCGGCGCAAACGAAAGACAAAAUCUACGCAAGUGAGAAGAAAAAAAUGAAAUGCAGAUCGACGCAAAUAUAAGACAAAAUCUACGCAUGUGAAAGAAUAAAAAAAAAUGAAAUGUAGAAAGGCACAAAUGUAAAAAGUCGAGAUCAAAAUUUAUAUUUUAUUAUUUUUAUUAGAGCGAAGGUUAAAUAUAGUGUAGUAUCUUAUGUGUCCAUUUGUGUUAAAUUUCCACAGGAUUUUAAAGUAGCGCGACACAUAAUAGUUCCUAUUUUCUUGGGAGACGUAACGUACCUACAUAGCGUACACCAUGUUGGAAUCCGUGAAAAACGCGAAAAUAGGACGUUAUAAUUUGACGUUUUUUCAUUGCUAGAAGCAACGUCAUAGAGCUUUUAUGUCACUAACAAGAUGCGUUAGCUGAUGCGCAUAAACAAUAGGCUGUUUGGUCUUUAAGUUUUGGUGGUUAAGUCCAUUUCUCAGAUACUAUAAGCAAUAGGUCUAGUAUAUUCGGUGUAUGGAAGGACUGUAAAGUGUACAUGUCAAAUUGGCAGGUGUCAUCUGACCUUGACCUCAUUCACAUUGUUGAGUGGUCAAAGUUAAGUUUUUGAGUUUUGGUCUUUUUUAAUUCUAUAUGCAGUUUGUCAACUAUAUUUGGUGUAUGGAAAUAUUUUAUAAUGAACAUGUUAGUCUAGCCGGUUUUAUUUGACAUUGCUCAGUGUUAAGUUUUUGUGUUUUGCUCUGUUUUUCUGAAAUUAUAAGCAAUAGAUCAACUCUAUUUGUUGUAUGGAAGAAUUGUAAGCUGUACAUGUCCGACUGACAUGUGUCAUCUGACCUUGACCUCAUUUCAUGAUUCGUUGGUCAAUGUUUAGUGUUCUUGGUUAAGUCUGUUUCUUAGAAACUGUAAGCAAUCGGUCAACCAUAUUCUGUGUAUUUAAUGAUUGUUUUUUGUCCAUGGAUUUAUGAGUUUUGAACAGCGGUAUACUACUGUUGCCUUUAUUAACCAUUUGACCAAGGAAGAUAAUUAAAAACUGGUGCACGUUUAAUGACUUUAUGCAAAGGGAUCAUUGGACAAAACACAAAAAAAACCCACCAUCAUAACGUAAGAAAGAAGUUCAAAUCACGUAAGAAGAACUAUUCAACAUUUCCUUUUUUGUGAAACAAAAAUUAAUUAUAAACUGUUUUAACAUAACUGGCUACAAAAUAAUGUCAAGAACUGUAACUCUCUAUCUUUAUUGUCUACAAAUAGAACAAGUUGUUUUAUCUAAUACAGGUUUCAUGUUAUCCUCGUAAAAAAUAAACAUAAAUCAAACUUAUUUGAAGCAUAACAUGUUUUAAUAAUUCAUGUAUUAGUCUACUUUACCAAGUUUAUUUUUGAAUACCGUAGUCCUGAUACAUUGUAAUGUGACAUGCUAUUAAAUUUGGUGGUGAACUACGUUGAUAAGUAUAUCUAUUUGUCUGAUUAAUUAACAAUAAAUAUAUUAACGAUAUUGCAAUUAAGAAAUAAUUGAGGCAAGCUAUACUUUAUUGUAGUUUUAACAUGGGUAGGCAUUAUAUUCGUGACGGAGCUCUUCCAUGAGUCGGUCUUUUUUGUUUGUAAACAAGCAAACGACAUGCAAUGUGAUCUUUCAUAGAGAGGAGUUUUGAACAACCAGCAUACACGGUUUUUGUAUCUAGGUCAAAUAUGUCAAUUUCGAAUUGCAAUACAUUACAGUGAUAAUAAAUGAAUAAUUAACAACAUGUGCAUCAUGUACAUUUAAGAGUGUGGAAGUGUUUUAAGCUAACGAAAUAUAUCAAAUGCAUGCCAAUUUGAUAAAAUUCAUUAUUCUGCAGUAGUCAAUUUACGCUAGUGCAAACAAAUUUUAUUGGAUUUAGAGCAUGGGUUUAUUCACAAAGCGAAAGAAGCACGUCAUGUUAGAAAAUCAAAUUUUUGACAUGUUUGAACCCUAUGAUAAUGAACCUUAUAUUUGAAGUUAUUCGAACUGAUUUUUUUUUAAUUUAUGUUACAAUUCUCCACUAUCUUUUAAAAAGAUUAAAAUGAUCGUUGUUAUCAGUUUACAUUUUUGUAGCCUGAUCGGACGUAACACUAGCUGCAACGAAUAAAAUGUAUUUUGAAUAUUUUUCAAUUAAGGUGGUAUGGGUGUCUUCCGCCAUCUUGGAUUGUUAAAAAACAGAAAAAACCUUUUGGUCUAGGUUUUCUAUCAAGUUAGCAAAAUUUGAUACAGGAAUGCAGAUAAUUAAUGUGAAUUUUAAUUUAAAAGAACCAAUUCAAAAGAAUAUUACUUAUAAAUAUUAAUAUUUUUACAAGUGUAGAUUAUUUUUCGUUGUUUUAAAAUAUUUUUAAAUUGGCAUUUUAUGGGGAGGUAACUCUAAAACAGUGCAUUUUCUGACGCAAUCUACAUGGAAUUUUCCUAUUUUGUAUUUUAGCCGGAAAAAAACGUAUGGUGUCCCUAUCUUUUCUUUUGAUAUUCUCAAAGCAUUGUCUGAUUAGUUAUCAAAGGUACCAGGAUUAUAACUUUUGACGCCAGACGCACGUUUCGUCUAUAAAGACUCAUGUCUCAUCUGAAAGCUGUCUUUUGAUAAUUUAUUUUACAAUUCUAUCAUUUCGUUUAGUUUCUAAUCACAAAAUGGUUUUUUUUCCUGUAUAAUUCAUACAAACUGUGUCAUUUUGUCACAACCUGUAGCUUGAAAAAAAGGGCGGUGACCUAUCAUUUUUAUUAUCUUUUUGAACAUAUAUCACUAGAUACUACGUUUUGGCAAAGUAUGAACAAAUUCUAUUAUUUUUAUUUUAGAUCCCCAUACCACCUUGAAAACCAAGUCAUGUGGAAAUGAGAUCAAUGAGAAUUAUUUCCUAUUUUAGAAUAUAUACUUUGAAUGAUAAAACCAUCGAAAUCACAGCUAUUGCUAUUACUAAUCAUUAUUAUUGAUCCUUACUUUGUAGUGUGUUAAUGGCUGCAGCCUUACAAAAUUGUGGUGUCUGUGACCUCCGUCACAUCACUAAACCAUCUAUAGUCUGGUGUACAGAAUGUGACGAGGGACUAUGUACAGAAUGUCAGGAUCAUCAUAGUUUGUCUAAGGCAUCGCGAAGCCACAGUGUGAUACUUUUUGCCGCAUACCAGAAACUACCUGCUGAUGUACUGAAAAUUACUCAGUAUUGUACCAGUCACGAUAAAAAGUACCAGUUCUAUUGCCAGAAGCAUGAAUGUCCCUGCUGCAGCACAUGUAUCGUGGAAAGCCACAAAGACUGCCGGGACAUUGUCGAAUUAGAUGAUAUCAUGUCUAACGCCAAAACCUCCUAUGCCCUGAGCGAGAUAGAGGAAACAUUAGUUGAAGUAGCAGAAAAUCUAAAGACAAUUCGUCAGCAUCAACAGAGCAAUCAGGUGACUUUGAAAGAAAAGAGAAAGGAAAUCCAAAAAGAAGUAAAGAAAACUAGAAUGAAGAUCAAUAACCACCUCGACAAACUACAAGAAGAUUUAAUGAAACAACUCAACGAGCUCGAAGAAAAAGAAAACUCUAAAAUAUGUCAGUUAAUGUCCUCGCUAAAAAAGAAAGAAAAGAAAUAGGAGAAUGCCAAAAUAGCCUAUUGAACAUCAAGAAACACGCAACAGAUCUUCAAAUGUUUCUCUCAAUUAAGCAAAUAGAAGAGGACGUCUAUAGCAAAGAAAAAGAAUUGCAGGCUCUUGUAGAAAGGCAAGGAACAGCAUACUCUUUCAUAUCAGAUCAACACCUCUAUCCAGAAUAUCAUAUCCGAUAUCAGAAGUUUUGGGGAAGUGCGUAUUGAAUCUAAUCCAUGCGACAUAGUUCUGAUCAAGAAGAAGGCCAGACAAGCCCAAUUGAUGAUUCCAAUCGUUCCAACAAAAUCUAUAGAAAAUAUAAAGCUAACGAUACACAAGUCCAUCGACACUCAAGGAAGUGCUACGUUCACGGAUGUUGCAUACUUCCAGAUGAUAGAUUGGUAUUUACUUACUACUUUGCCAAACAAUUAAAAGUUUUCAGUGAUAAAGGAUCAACAGACUUUGAGAUCAAGAUGCCGAGUUACGCGUUUGAUAUAGUAUACAUUAGAGAAGACAAUACAUUGGCUGUAUCAUCUAUAUAGUCCACGUACCAUUACCAUAAUAAACCUGGAGACAAAACAAAUGAUGAAAUCAAUUGCAGUGGAUUCGGACAUUUAUGGCAUAUCACUGAAAGAAAAUCAGUUGAUUUAUUCAGGGAGAGACAAAGGUAUACGAAUGAUCGAUUUAAACGAUGAGUCUAUAAGUGACUUAGUCCGAGAAGCAAUGACCAGUGUUUGCUACACUGCAACUUUUAGGGACAAUAUAUAUCAUACAAACAAUCAAAAAAACACUGUGACAUGUUAUAACCUACAAGGUAAACUACAAUGGACAUUCCAUAACGAAAGCGUUCUUAAUACUCCUCAUGGCAUUGAUGUAGAUAAUGAUGGUAAUGUGUUCGUGGUGGGGCACAUAUCGAACAACGUUGUAGUUAUCUCCUCUGAUGGAAAAAGACAUAGAGAACUAUUGACCGUAAGUGAUGGUCUUGAUUUUCCUAUGACACUUCAUUAUAGUGGAACAACGAAUCAGUUGCUUGUCGCGAAC